CUGGGAUCUCUGGGGUCUUGGU
rnacentral:miRNA from 12 species